rnacentral:lncRNA from 1 species
UUUUUUUAUUUAUUUAUUUUCUUCACUUUUCAAUUCAAUCACGUCGUUUUUAUUUUAAAGUAUUCAAUUCAACGACUAAGCAAGAUAUUAAAGUAAUCGUUGAUGGACAUACAAUGCGAGUAGGCAGUGUAAACGGCCUCAUCAAGAGACUCCAAAUUCCAGUGAGAAAAUGAGUUAAACAGGCAACACCUCACGCUUUCUAUGUUUUUCUUACAAUCACGAAGAACCCCAUCAGCAAACACCCUAAUAAAACUCUCACUCUUCUCCUUCCCCUUUUUGUCCACAUGAUAACUGUCCACAUGGCCGGGGCCUCACGCCAAUCUACGUUCCGUUUGAACAAAUCACCCUUCAAUGUGGCUCUUUCGGUAACAAAUCCCGCCUUGAAUGCCUACACAUUUCCACUCUCUUCCAGCCCAAAGUUCAUCCGCUUGUAUUUCUUCCCAGCUUCAUACGCCCCCAACUUCGACCGAUCCCAAGCCGUCUUCUCAGUCAAAGCCGGUGGCUUUACCCUUCUCCACGACUUCAACGCUUCAGCCACGGCUGAUGCUUCUGCCUCGGAUACUAUAUACAGAGAGUUCUGCUUCCACACUGAGUCAGGACAGAAUUUGAAUAUCACGUUCAGUCCAGGCAAAGCAAGCCCAGAUGCCUACGCGUUUAUCAAUGGGAUUGAAAUUCUCUCCAUGCCCCCAUAUCUUUUCUACACUUCACCCCAGAGCCCGGAUGGGGUUGCUUAUGUAGGCAGCGCAAAGACGAUUCGCAUCGAGAACAACACUGCUCAGGAGAUGGUGUACCGAAUCAAUAUCAGUGACGAAAGCCGGAUCUAUUCCUAUCAGGAUACUGGUAUGCACCGCAAUUGGGAUGGUUCUGGAGACGAGUACAGCUACUUAGACGAUUUAAGUAGGAAGUUUACCUAACCGGAGUAAAUAAGGAUGAACAGUCACCAAAGAGAAACAUGUCUUUGAAAUUCCACAAGAUCCUACAAAAAUACCUGAAACAUGUCUGGGGCCAUCAAAAAGUCGCCAAGUACUUGGCCAGGAAUUUGAAAGACUCCUUUGCCAGACUAAAAAUACAACAGAAAAUGUAAUUAAUUGUUCUUAAAACAAAUCGAGGAGAGACAUGUACAUGUAGAAAAAAGAUUACAAAGCAUACUUUUUGUGUUCUUUCAGUACAUUAGCGACGGUCAGAAAUAACUGCUUCUGAUCAGAGAUCCCAAUAUUCCACUCUUUCAAAAAACUUUCCACAUUUUUGAAUGAAGGGAUGACAUGUUCAGUGACCCUCCGAUUGAUAGCCAAAUUAAGAGCACUCAAGUAGACUAAGAACCGGCUAUAUGGGUUCUCCAGUAGGUUGUACAGAUUGAACAAACUGUAAAAAAAAUGCUUCAUCUGGACUUUCAGACUUUGUAACAUUGCGGAUAACAGUGAAUAUGCACUAAAAAAUACAUGAAUUUGUGUAUGAUGAGCAUUGACAAAACCGUUCAGAUGCCAUCUAAUUGUCGUUAUUAAUUGAAUAAGUUGACACUAAGUCCAUAUCGUCUAGUAUUGAUAAUAAGAACGUUUUAAAGAAUAUUAGCAAUUUCAAUUUCUACAAGGGUAAGCAUCUAUGUAAUUGACCAAAAACGCAUGCAGAAUUUUGAAGUACUUAGGCUAGGGAGCUUCAAGCAAACAAUCUUUCAAAUUUUGUUAAAAUUGAAGAUAAAAAUGAAUUAGUCGUGAAGGAAUAUUAUCCCCUCCAAAUUAAGUUAAAUAUCUCGAUCAAUACAUUAAGGAUGCUUAAUUUUCAAGUGUGCAGAAAGAAUGAGUGAAGCACAAAUAUCUAGAGUGCAGAUUUAAAGAUCAUGCUUAAUUCAUUGUGUAGUAGAGGUUCGACAUCAACGACAUGCUAAAAACUUAAGGGUCGUUUUCGGGUGGAUGCUAUAUAAUGGAAGAGAUUGAAUCUCUACAUGUGGUUGAUAGACCAUCACUCCUAUUCUUGUACUCCUGGGGUUGAGGUACUCGGUUAGGGAGUAGGAUUCUCUCCCCUCUUAUUCUCAUCAAGCAGCAAGUAUCACAUCCAUAAUCAAAGAAGCACCCUCGGCAUCGUCUUCUAUCCGCAAAGUUUCAUGCUCCACACAUCACAGAUUUCUCACUCCGAUUUUACUUGCAGAAUAUUUAACCUCACCACUCCCGGCCAAAGCUACUUGUGUCGUUCAUUGGGAAUCAAACAAAAUAUUUAAGUCGGGUCUGUUAUCCCAUAGUCAAGAACACAAGUCUUAGUAAAAGUAAACACAUCAUGACAGGAAGAUACAUCCAUCCAAUGUGAUAGAGGAAAAGGAAUGGAAAUUGCCCAAGUGAUGCUUCAGCGCAAGUCUUUUCUAUGCAAAGACUUUGAACAAACCCUGGCUGACUCUUCCUGUUUACCUUUCCUUGUUUGCGUUUGCACACCAUUGUCACCCCUAUUGUACGUCCACCAUGUAUGGACUUGUAAAUAAGUUGUGCUAUUUUCCAUAUUGCCAAUUGGUUUUAUGGUAGAACAUUAACUUUUUUUAAGAGAUUCGCCAACAAUCUACAUUCCGGUGAAAGAUAUCACCAUAAAAUGUGGCUAUUCCGGCAGCAUAUUCGAUCACUAUGAUAAAUGAAAUUGGAAUGGAGAUGCUUACUUAAACAUUUUCUCCAUUAGAAGCACACCAAGCAGUUGGUAUCACAUCCAUAUCCAAAGCACCACCUUCAAUGUUGUCGUCCUCCGUCCGCCAAGUGCCAUACACCACAACACUUGUAUCAUAGUAGCGUGCAAUUCUUCAUUAGUUCAUUUUCCUUCAAUUCUUCCAGAUGAAGUUGGGCUUUCCAGGACCACCUGUCCUGAUGGAGAAGAAGGAUUUCCUAGUUGAUCUGUCAUUUUUAACAAAUCUUGAAACGAUUCGUAUUUUGUCCUCUUUUUGACACACGAGAUUGAAACAGAAAUCCCACCGGGCGUGCCAAAACUAUGUUCGUGGCUAGAAUUUCCGUCGGGGAUGCUUCCUAGCCGACAAGCACACAGCUCUCCGAGAGGUUGGCGCCAGUUGAUGGUUUCUGUCGGGCUUCUGCUUACUGGCGGGCUUGUCGGGCAAAUCUUGUCGGGUAAGGCUUGUUGGGCAAGGCUGAAAGAGAAGGAUAGGGUUAACUUUGAAAGGUGCCUUUGUAGGGCCUUAGGUAUAGGCCUUGAGGCUCACAAUCAAGAUUAACUUUUAGGUAUUCAGGCGUGCCACUGCCAUCUUUAGCAUGGCAGAUGUAAAACAGAUGUUGAGUUUUAAUUGUAUAUAUACCCGAGAGGUUGUUUUAGUUAUGAAAGGUGCAUUUGUGGGGCCUUAGGUGUAGGCCUUGAGGCUUCCCAUCAAUAACUAACUCAGUACUCGAACAUAUAAUGUCUAUUUCAUUGGUUGCAGAAGUGUUAUGACUAUUAUACUUCUAAUUACCCGAGCCCGAAGAGCCAAAUGCAUCCAAAUAGGUGCCUUUGUAGGGCCAUAGGUAUAAGCCUUGAGGCUUCCCAUCAGAAUUACUUCUAUACUCAAAUGUUCUACGAUAAUCAUAAUAUAACAGAAAUAAAACUUAGGAAAUCGGUCGAUUACUUGCGCCCCAAGUAACUUCUGACUUCUUGUUAUCAAAGACUGUCGUGGAUGGGUUAAGUCCACAUAAGGUUCUUUUUUAUGCCUUGAGACCAAGGACUUUUGAAUGAUCAAUCUUACAUGCCCAAGGGUUUAGAACUUAGAUCUGAUUUAAGUUGUGACUACAUAUUCCAAUCGGAAUCAAGGACUGAGGAGUCUUUUAAUCAUCAACUUGCUGGAACUAACUUGGAUACAAAUGGAAGUAUACAAUAUAUUACUAGACUUAUGAAUGAAAAGACCAAAAAACAAAGAGGGUCGGGCAAGGUUUCACCUUGUCAGGCAAGACUGGUCGUCUUGCAACUUCCUAUCAUGUGAUUUAUGGAGGGGCUUGAGAGCUUUAGAAAGAGGGCUGGGGAGGUGAGUUUACAUAAGGAAAUCGAUACUACAACAAGAUUUAUGCAAGGUAGCAAAACUUUUACAAAGGCUUUGGGUGAGGGUUGAUCCCGAAAGGGAUGAAGGUUUGGGCUGACUACAGCUUCGUUGAAAGCAAAUCUGGCUUGAGCAGAGUUUGUGUUUGUAUUUGUUUGUUUGUUUGAGUGACCUCAUCUCUGAUUUCUCUUUCUUCUUUUAUAGGCAGUUUGGCUUGGCCUCAUGUAGCUUUAAUCUUGCCCGAAUGCAGCUUGAAGGGCAAUGACUCAUCAACUUUUUACUUGUACUGCCACUGUAAAGUGCUUUUGGGCUGAUUAGCUGGCUGGUCUACACCACUUGAUCUCUAGGUAGGUGAACAAGUAGUGCAAAUGAUCUGCAGUCGGAAAAAAGCCCUUUUCUUCCUUCUGGGCUUUGGCUGGGCUUCGGGCCCCUUUCCUCCUAGUCCUCUUGUUGGGCUGACUCCCUUUUGAGCCCAAAGUUCAAGUUUUAACCCAAACAACCCUCCCAUUGAUAGCCAAAUUAAGAGCACUCCAGUAGACUAAGAACCGGCUAUAUGGGUUCUCCAGUAGGUUGUACAGAUUGAACAAACUGUAAACAAAAUGCUUCAUCUGGACUUUCAGACUUUGUAACAACAUUGCGGAUAACAGUGAAUAUGCACUCAAACAUCUGGAAGGAAACAAAAAUACAUGAAUUUGUGUAUGAUGAGCAUUGACAAAACCGUUCAGAUGCCAUUUAAUUGUCGUUAUUAAUUGAAUAAGUUGACACUACGUCCAUAUCGUCUAAUAUUGAUAAUAAGAACGUUUUAAAGAAUAUUAGCAAUUUCAAUUUCUACAAGGGUAAGCAUCUAUGUAAUUCACCAAAAACGCAUGCAGAAUUUUGAAGUAAUUAGGCUAGGGAGCUUCAAGUAAACAAUCUUUCAAAUUUUGUCAAAAAUUGAAGAUAAAAAUGAAUUAGUCGUGAAGGAAUAUUAUCCCCUCCAAAUUAAGUUAAAUAUCUUGAUCAGUACAUUAAGGAUGCUUAAUUUUCAAGUGUGCAGAAAGAAUGAGUGAAGCACAAAUAUCUCAAGUGCAGAUUUAAAGAUCAUGCUUAAUUCAGCAUGUAGUAGAGGUUCGACAUCAACGACAUGCUAAAAACUUAAAGGUCGUUUUCGGGUGGAUGCUAUAUUAAUGGAAGAGAUUGAAUCUCUACAUGUGGUUGAUAGACCAUCACUCCUAUUCUUGUGCUCCUGGGGUUGAGGUACUCGGUUAGGAGUAAGAUUCUCUCCCCUCCUAUUCUCAUCAAGCAGCAAGUAUCACAUCCAUUUUCAAAGAAGCACCUUCGGCAUCGUCUUCUAUCCGCAAAGUUCAAUGCUCCACACAUCACAGAUUUCUCACUCCGAUUGUACUUGCAGAAUAUUUAACCUCACUACUCCCGGCCAAAGCUACUUGUGUCGUUCAUUGGGAAUCAAACAAAAUAUUUAAGUCGGGUUUGUUAUCCCAUGGUCAAGAACACAAGUCUUAGUAAAAGUAAACACAUCAUGACAGGAAGAUACAUCCAUCCAAUGUGAUAGAGGAAAAGGAAUGGAAAUUGCCCAAGUGAUGCUUCAGCUCAAGUCCUUUCUAUGCAAAGACUUUGAACAAACCCUGGCUGACUCUUCUUGUUUACCUUUCCUUGUUUGUUUUUGCACACCAUUGUCACCCCUAUUGUACGUCCACCAUGUAUGGACUUGUAAAUAAGUUGCGCUAUUCUCCAUAUUGCCAAUUGGUUUUAUGGUAGAACAUCAACUUUUUUUAGGAGAUUCGCCAACGAUCUACAUUCCGGUGAAAGAUAUCACCAUGUGGCUAUUCCGGCAGCAUAUUCGAUCACUAUGAUAAACGAAAUUGGAAUGGAGAUACUAAAACAAUUUCUCCUUUAGAAGCACACCAAGCAGUUGGUAUCACAUCCAUAUCCAAAGCACCACCUUCAAUGUUGUCGUCCUCCGUCCGCCAAGUGCCAUACACCACAACACAUCAUUCUAGCUCCGAUUUUACUUACAGAGUAGAAGCUGCUCAUAAAGCUGAUGCUAAUAACUUUGGUUAGCACAAAAGUCGUUCUUUUCUACAUCAAAGGCCAACGCUGAUCUGAAGAAUUUUAUGAUGAUGUGACAAUAAACACACAAGCAAAUAAUAAGAGAUUUUACUGUCUCUCCAGAAAGGUGGUAUUAUUUCUCCAACCACAUCCUCUAAUUGAAUUGACAAGAACCACGUACUACGCCAAGAAGAUACACAUCGAGUGACUCAUUCUUCACCGCACAAAGACAUUGUGUAGACUUGUAGCUAAGCAAGAUAUUUAAAGUGAUCAUUCACAGACAUACAAUGCUAAUAGCAGUGUAAACGGCCUCAUCAAGAGACUCCAAAUUCCAGUGAGAAAAUGAGUUAAACAGGCAACACCUCACCCUUUCUAUGUUUUUCUUACAAUCAUGAACAACCCUAUCAGCAAACACCCUAAUAAAACUCUCACUCCUCUUCUCCUUCCCCUUUUUUUCCACAUGAUAACCAUGUGCAUGGCCGUGGACUCGCCGCCAAUCUACCGUCCG